UAAGGUUACGAAUGGGUUCUUCCACUCUGUAAAACAGCAAGAAGUCGGCGAGAAAACCGUCGGCUGCCGCGAGAUCGUGGGUGGGGCGAAAGAGCUGACUUUCCUUUAACGACGGUCGGCGAAACCUUUAACGACGGUCGGCGAAAGAGGGUGGACGAUGGACGAACAUGAGAUCUGUUCUUCGGCUUCGAGAGACGAGUUCUAUGAAGAUCUUGCAUCAGGCCAUCUCCGACGGCACCACCAUCAAAACAGUUGAGUCCACCUUAUAAACCACCAUCAAAACAAAUGUCAAAUAAGCCGGAAGAACACAUCUCAUAUUCGUACAUCGUCCACCCGGAGUUCUUCUGCCGGUAGUCGUUGAAGGAAAGGCUGCUCUUUCACCUCACCACCAUCUCGCGCCUGGCGACGGUUUUGUUGACUAGUUCUUGCUUUUUGUCCAGAGUCUAAGAACCGAUGUCGAUCCACGCGCGAGCCGGUGUGCCCCUGUAGCCUCUCGGAACAAGGUCGACGGGCUCCAUGGACGACGGUUGUUUCUUGAAGAGGAGAAGGGAGCACAGAGGCGAGGGGCGAGAAGACAAAGUGCCUUCAUCUUCUUUGAAUCCCAUCGCCCCGUUCGGACUUACUCGACUCGGAAACAAAGGUUUGAGGAUCUUGAAGAUGGAGGUAUCUGCGCUGGUGUUGGCUUGUGGCUUGAGGGUGGGAGCUGAUGAAAGCAGAGGGCUGGAGCUGAUGGAACCAAUAAUAGGUCCCUGUAUGUCAUCAAGGUCGGACCUGUCCACAAUGCCAAGUGAUUUCUUUUCGAUUCUUACCACACCAUCGCUUUGGUAAGUCGAGUAGUUUACUAAGAGUUGAGUUUAAUGAGACAGUUAGUUAAAUAAUGUCUAAAUGAUUCUACUAUAGUUGAUCUAUCAGUUAGUUAAUGAGACAGUUAAUUAGUCGAGAUAAAUGGCACUAAAAAUUGUUCAAUAAUGUUAAUUUCAGUUUUGAAAAUCCUAAUGGUUCUAAACUAUCAAAUAUGAGUCGCAAACGUGUUUAUCAAAGAGAUUCUUCAAAGUAGCAGUCUGGAUUGAUGCAUAAUGAUAUUUGAGAAAGUUUCUUUGACAUCCAUGCAACUUCUUAUUAAUGUUCUUCGUUGGGGCUCUCACUACCAACCACAAUGAAUCAUAAUUAUGUAGAAGUUUCUCUAAAAUAAAGAUCCGGAAGUACACUGUCAAGCUUGGGUAGCUUCUUAGCAUAUACUUCAAGACUGAGUAGCGAUAUUAUCAGACAAAUAGGAUGGAUGGAUCACAGCAACACUCAUCAAUAUGAAAAGAGGCAAAAUCAUCACAAAAACCAUAAGAACAUAGUGCUGCAACACCCAUGUAGCCGAAUACUUGCAAGCAGACAGCUAGAGUGGCCCUAUGUGAAUCUUCACUGUAGUGCCAGAUUUACUUUGCCGGAGCAUUGUUAGGAACUAGCUUAUUAAGUAAAUGUUUUUAUUUCUUUAGAUUAUUAGUUAUCGAAUUCAUCAUUGCAAUCAGAGUUCUGCAUUCACUAUCUCCCUCACCCCACAACAUGGAACUUGUGGUUCGUUUUAACAUUUCAUUCAGUGAUGUACUUCCAUGUGAUGACAUGAAUUUAUGCAUCUUCUUUCAGGUUGAGAGAUCAUUUGACUUAUCCAGGGUUCGUAAAUGUUUUUGUUUCUCGACUUGAUUGAAAACAUGUAUGUUUAUUCUGUGGGUUAUGGAUGUAUUUUACAGA